CGCUAAGAAGCUAAACCGGUACUCAGCGUUAGCCUUUUAAGCUAAAGAAUGGUGGCCACCAACCACCCUUAACGA
rnacentral:tRNA from 1 species